CAAAGAGUAGUUUAAUUAAAAUUUUGGCUUUGGGAGUCGAAGAUAGAAGUUCAAGUCUUUUCUUUUUGA
rnacentral:tRNA from 1 species